CCCUGACCUCUGGCUCCUUAAAGUCUGGGAACCAUGUUGUGAUUCAGGGGUGUCUGCCUUUGGGGUCUUUUUUCCUUCCCUGUAUCACAUACCUUCUAUACCCUGGUUCCUACACUGAUAUUAUAUACUAGCGUGGUUACCUUCUCUGUCCACAGGAUUGCUGUGUCGGCCCUUUAGUGAGUGUCUGCGUUUCGUUCAAGUCUACGAGCACAGCCGUGUUCUAACCUCUCAGAGCAAUGUCAUGCUGGGGGUCCACUCCUCCCUGGCCAUGUGGUUUGCCCAGGAAUCACAGUGGGACCUGUUUAAGCACUAUUUCUCCAACGCUUGCAGUUGGUGAAAAGAACCAAUGCCUCGCUAUUUGGUGCACAUGGCUUUGUCCGAUUCCUAGAAUGCCAUGUGUUAAUGUUACAGAAAAUGCCAGAGGGUAUCUUCAUGCAUAUUCCUCUAGAGCUUCACAGCCAAACCCUUGAGGCUUAUUUUGCCAUCAGUAACUCCUUCCUGUUCCCCCAGCCAUGAGUGAAUAUGCUGAAUGAGGACCUUUGUAAGUUCUGAUGAAGUAGCAUGUUAGGAGAAUGAAGCACUAAUCCCAGAGCUAAUGGACCUUCCUUUCCUUUCAGUACUGAUUUGACAGAGUGGCUGAUGUCAAGGAGAACAAGGAUGCAGAAGAAACUCAAGAUGUAUGUAUUAAAACAAAAGAACAAUAACCUGAAGGGACCAUGAUUCUGUUAUUGUAUAUAACACAAGGAAAUGCCCCAGAUUCUCCUUUAAAAGAUAUAAUGUACAUAUUAAGUAUACUAG
rnacentral:lncRNA from 1 species